UACGGAGGGUGCAAGCGUUGCUCGGAAUUAUUGGGCGUAAAGGGUAGGUAGGUGGUCUCGUUUGUCUAGGGUGAAAGCCUUGAGCUUAACUCAAGAAGUGCCCUAGAAACGGCGAGACUAGAGUUCUGGAGAGGGUCGUGGAAUUCCCGGUGUAGUGGUGGAAUGCGUAGAUAUCGGGAGGAACACCAGUGGCGAAGGCGGUUGCCUGGAGCUUUGCUGACGCUGAGGCGCGAAAGCGUGGGGAGCGAUCCGG
rnacentral:rRNA from 1 species